GGUGUGCUGGGACCAAGUCUCACACAUAUGAUGAAUCAUGGCAUAGGAUCGAAUGUCACAUCUUUACUAAAUAACAGGAGUUCUGUACAAAAUAAAUAAUUACAUUAUAAGGAGACAACAGUCCAGCAACCCAAAGUUGACUGGGAGACGACGACCUAGACCUGUCACGAACUCGUCACAGCAUCCUCCAAGCGCCUCAUCCUGUGGUACCUGUUCUUGACCUGUGGGGGGUGUGAGACAGCAAGAGUGAGCUCACAUACGUUCAUCGCUCAACAAGUUGUGGGGAAUAAUGUGCAUGAACUCGCCAAAGGUGGGAGCUCACGUGAAGUGUAAGGCUUAACAAAGAGGAUGGUUAGAGCUGAGCAUUGCUUUUAAAGUUGGUCAAAAUUUUAUUAGCAAUUACUAAGUAUAAGUAAAUACCAACCCAAUUAAAUAGUAGAACAGAAGUAACAACAUCACCUGCGAUGCAAUGCAUAUGACAAAUUGAAUUUAAGUUCCAUAAAUUAAUCAUGUGAGGGUCCGAGCUGCUCAUGACCGUGAGCACGGCUAGUAUACCAGUUUUACACUCUGCAGAGGUUGCGCAUCUUUACCCACAAGUCAUGUUACCCAUCUGCCAAGGGAUCGCGACUUCCCAUACACCUCUACCGAGGAGGCGAGGCAGGGUAACACUACGAGGCCUUUACAAAGUUCCACUAGCUUCAGAAAACCCGCUACAGUUUAUAGGAAGCUCCAAUGCAGGAAUCCCUUGCAGGACCGCCAUCGCAGCAAAAUCCUCCCGAGGGCCUCCCUACACUGACCACUCCCCUACUGCCCUUGCCCCUUUCAGGUAAGGUAGUCUUCCACUAGCUUUCCUAAUUAAUCAGCCAAGGGCGUCCCAUUAAACCCUUGUGGUAGCACUGUUUUCCCGGGUGGUCGCUCCAUGUUCCAAUUAACAUAAUGAUCUUAUCAUGAACAGAAAUAAUAAACUGAUAAUAAAAGUGUAAUCAUGAAUAAUGUAUCUUCAUACCCAAAACCACAUAAAGCACUAGCAAGUACUACCCAAAAAGUUCAGUGGUAAACAAGGUAUAAAGAUAAUCAAACUAGGGUAAACUAUUGGGUCCCAUCAAAAUUAACCUAUGCAGAUCAUUAUGAUUAAUCAGAACAUGAGUAGGUAAAAAGAAGUGAUCAAGGGCACAACUUGCCUGGGACUUGAGAUUCCAGGUACCAACUUGCUUUUCAGAUGACUCGUGACCUUGCUAGUCGUAGCAAUACAACAAACAUGGUAUAGGAAAAAUUAACAUUACAUCAAACAUAAUAACAACUGCAUAAUAAUAUUCUACGCGUCGUAACGAGAUCGUAGGAACAAGAAUCACUAAAUUCGGAGUUACGAUUAUCAAGUUAUGAUUUUAUAAAGAUUUAAGUGUUGGACACAAAAGAAAUUGAGUGCAUAAAUUAUACCUUUGUUUCAUAAUAAAAUAAGGUUACCAAAUGAUAAACAAUAUUAUUAUGAAUUUAUAGCAACUGGAAUAAAUUAAUUCGGACCUAAGAUGAAUUAAAUAUGAAUUAUACAAGUUUCUGGAAUUAUUUUUAUACUAAAAAUCAAUUUUCCUAAUUAUUUCUCUAUUUUUAUCUCUCUGGACUGCACGUUAAAUUCCAGAAAGAUCAGGGGUUAUUUAGAAAAUAAUUCCCAAGACUCAUGAUUCCCCCAGUGUGGACGGCGGGUUAAAUACUAUGAAGUUCAGGGGCUCUUAAGAAAAAGGGAACUCGCGAAGGGGUACGGUGAGGUUUGGGUCGUCCGAUCCAAUCCGAACGGCCAAGAUUUCAAAUAGGUGAUAUCCCAACGUAUCCCUCCGAUUACAUAUCAACGGCCAGAUCGAAAUAGAGCGCAGGGGUAUGAGAGAUCUAAUCUAAACCGUUGAUAGCGGAUUGAACGGCGAGGGGCCAUCUUCUUCCUCCCGCGUCUUCUCCCUCCACCGCAGCCAACGCGGCGGCGAGGAACCUACCGCGACGGCGCCAACUUUAGCCGCGGCGGCGAUCUCGCCGACGAGGAGGUGGUCGGGAAACACAGCGCUCUCUUCAAUCUACCGACUGCGCCCACGAAGGCCACCCAUAUCCCAUGGCCGCGCUGCACACUGACAGUCCUAAUCCCACGUACGCACUGCCUAGGAGCCCAAACGAGACUAACCCAGUCUUCAUUACGAACAGAAUAAGGUGCAUCGUACAGGGGGGUUAUUACCGUGAAUCAUAUGGGGUACAGAACCACACCGGCGCUGACGCCAAAGGAGAUUCUCGGCCACCCCGAAGCUUCGUGUACACGGAUGACCUCUGCACGUCAUCAGCUCUCCAAGGCGCAUGAAGUAGCUACGCCAGGGUUCGGCUCUCGGUGUUGGCAUGGUGAACGAGGGAGGUUUGGCUGGCAUAUAUAUACGCUAAGGAGAUUUCCUCCAUGCCGAGUGGACGGAGUCUGUUACGGAGUUUGUUGAGUCUGAUUCGUGGCCAGGAGAUCGA
rnacentral:lncRNA from 1 species